GUGCCUAACACAUGCAAGUCGAACGAGAAAGUGGAGCAAUCCAUGAGUAAAGUGGCGACCGGGUGAGUAACACGUGACUAACCUACCUCCGAGUGGGGAAUAACUCCGGGAAACCGGGGCUAAUACCGCAUAACAUCGCAAGAUCAAAGCAGCAAUGCGCUUGGAGAGGGGGUCGCGGCUGAUUAGCUAGUUGGCGGGGUAACGGCCCACCAAGGCGAAGAUCGGUAUCCGGCCUGAGAGGGCGCACGGACACACUGGAACUGAAACACGGUCCAG
rnacentral:rRNA from 2 species